rnacentral:misc_RNA from 1 species
CAAUCCGUUCGAUCCGAACCGCCGCCUCUCCUCUUUCGGCUGCGCUUGCGGCCGGCACACGAGCGAAGCCGAGCACGAAGCCGCGCUCCAGCUCCAGGCCGAGACCCCACAAAGCGACGAGCGGCGCUACGAAGGCGUUGUCGCCUCCGCCGUCAUGCGCGCGAUGUUUCCUCAGGAUGCCGCGCGCCGCACAUUUCUGAAGUCGGUCGGCGCGGCAACAGCCGUCGCCGCCGUCUCACAGUUCUUCCCCUUGAAGACCGCCACCGAAGUGUUUGCGCAGGGCGCACCGCUGGAAAAA